CCCACACUGGGACAGAGCCGCCUCGCAGCUUAGUGUUCAUUGAGCACUUCCACAGUUAUUAAUUGCGAGGUUUCUAAGCCAGGUUACUGAUGUGUUUGAAUUCUGCGUGUAUCGACAUAACGCAUUCUGAUGUCGAUGUUUAACGAAUACCAUCUGCGAUGUUUUCGAAUAACGUUAAGAGAAGAGAAUUGAUUAUAUGAAAUGAAUAAAGCUGAUAGCUCAGUUUAGAUUGAGUCCUCACGAAGAUCAAACGUACUUUUUAAUUAUUCUUUAAAUCACGGUGACAACAAGCCUUGUAGUAGAUAGUUCAGUUUGGCGACGAGGAAAAGUGGAAUCAUCUUGAAGCGGCAUUAUAAACGAACAAAGACCUUUGGCUUCAAUCCGGCGCGACGCCAUCUCCUGCAUGCGACAAUCUACUGAAGUUUCGGAAGACGAUCGACAAGUUGUUGCUCAAUUGAAGGAUAAGAAAUCGGUAUCCAGUUUCUUCUGUUCAGCUCCAGUCCUGUGAUUCAAAAGUGAUUGUGUCCUGACAGCUAUUGUUCGCCAUCGCUGAAAUUGGUUUAAUGGUGUGAGUCACGACUGAUUGGCUAUUCCCCUGAUACUAAAUUUCGAUCCGAGGGAUUUCGAGUUCCGAGAGAGCGAUUCCAAGCAGGUAUCAGCGGCCCGAUACGUCAACUGACGGCUCGUGUGUGGUUGAUUGACCCCGAGUAGACCCCUCAAAGAAUCGGCAAAGGCUGACGGAGUUUCUGGUACUAAUUGGAAACGUGGUAACCACAGCUCAUCGAGGGCAGCUACGCAUCUGUAAACAUGGGGAAUCCUAUGAAAGACCAAAUGUUGUUUGCCGCCGGCAACAGCCGGAACCAGAUGCCGUCGACGAGGAAUUUCAAGGCUUUCCGGAGGAGGAAAUCAGGCAAAGUAGAAAGCGAAAGAUGAAGUUUGAUGAAGCGAUGCAAGAGGUUGAAAAGUCAACCGAAGACGCUCCGAGGCGUUUGAAAAGAAUACGUCGACAAGUAAACGAUGGUGACUUUGUAUACCGUCAUCGUUAAAGUGUUAAUUGACCACGUUCUGAAUUGUAAUAUUGUUUUUCUUUGAAUUAUGAAUUCAAUCGAGUUGUUAUUAUUAUGUAUGUAUAGUUCUUAAUCGUAAGUGAAAAUAAUCUUUAUGAAUUGACAGUCUUUCCAUUCUUGAAAAGGGAAGAGCUGAUGUGUUUGAAUUCUGCGUGUAUCGACAUAACGCAUUCUGAUGUCGAUGUUUAACGAAUACCAUCUGCGAUGUUUUCGAAUAACGUUAAGAGAAGAGAAUUGAUUAUAUGAAAUGAAUAAAGCUGAUAGCUCAGUUUAGAUUGAGUCCUCACGAAGAUCAAACGUACUUUUUAAUUAUUCUUUAAAUCACGGUGACAACAAGCCUUGUAGUAGA